UCCGCAGGGGGUUUGCCAAGUCUGAUGUGAAAUCCCGUGGCUCAACUGCGGAAUGGCAUUGGAAACUGGCGGACUGGAGUCUGCGAGAGGUGAGCGGAAUUCCUGGUGUAGCGGUGGAAUGCGUAGAUAUCAGGAAGAACACCAAUGGCGAAGGCAGCUCACUGGCGCAGUACUGACCCUCAGGGACGAAAGCGGUGGGGAGCAAACA
rnacentral:rRNA from 1 species